GACGAACGCUGGCGGCGUGCUUAACACAUGCAAGUCGAACGGAAAGGCCCUGCUUUUGCGGGGUGCUCGAGUGGCGAACGGGUGUGUAACACGUGAGUAACCUGCCCUUGACUUUGGGAUAACUUCAGGAAACUGGGGCUAAUACCGGAUAGGAGCUCCUGCUGCAUGGUGGGGGUUGGAAAGUUUCGGCGGUUGGGGCUGGACUCGCGGCUUAUCAGCUUGUUGGUGGGGUAGUGGCUUACCAAGGCUUUGACGGGUAGCCGGCCUGAGAGGGUGACCGGCCACAUUGGGACUGAGAUACGGCCCAGACUCCUACGGGAGGCAGCAGUGGGGAAUAUUGCACAAUGGGCGGAAGCCUGAUGCAGCAACGCCGCGUGCGGGAUGACGGCCUUCGGGUUGUAAACCGCUUUCGCCUGUGACGAAGCGUGAGUGACGGUAAUGGGUAAAGAAGCACCGGCUAACUACGUG
rnacentral:rRNA from 1 species